rnacentral:rRNA from 1 species
CCCUUAGAUGUUCUGGGCCGCACGCGUGCUACACUGAGUGGAUCAGCGGGUCAGGUUGCGCGAAAGCGUUUCCUAAUCUUUAAAUCCGCUCGUGAUGGGGAUUGACGGUUGCAAUUUUCUGUCAUGAACGAGGAAUACCUUGUAAGCGCGGGUCAUCAUCCCGCGCUGAAUACGUCCCUGCCCUUUGUACACACCGCCCGUCGCUCCUACCGAUUGAAUGAUCCGAUGAAUAUCAUGGAUUGAGGAUGCAAGUAGGUUCGCCUAUCUUCAUCUUCGAGAAGUGAAGUAAAUCUUAUCAUUUAGAGGAAGGAGAAGUCGUAACA